GAUGAAGAACGUAGCGAAAUGCGAUAAGUAAUGCGAAUUGCAGAAUUCCAGUGAGUCAUCGAAUCUUUGAACGCACAUUGCGCCCGCCAGUAUUCUGGCGGGCAUGCCUGUUCGAGCGUCAUUACAACCCUCAGGCCCCCGGGCCUGGCGUUGGGGAUCGGCGGAAGCCCCCUGUGGGCACACGCCGUCCCUCAAAUACAGUGGCGGUCCCGCCGCAGCUUCCAUUGCGUAGUAGCUAACACCUCGCAACUGGAGAGCGGCGCGGCCAUGCCGUAAAACACCCAACUUCUGAAUGUUGACCUCGAAUCAGGUAGGAAUACCCGCUGAACUUAAGCAUAUCAAUAAGCGGAGGA
rnacentral:misc_RNA from 1 species